rnacentral:rRNA from 1 species
CUUCAUGGACGACGUCUGAUGGAGCAAUGCCGUGUGAACGAUGAAGGUCUUUUUAGAUUGUAAAGUUCUUUUAUUUGGGAAGAACAGUUAAUAGAGUGGAAAGCUAUUAAUUUGACUGUACCAUUUGAAUAAGUAACGACUAACUAUGUGCCAGCAGUCGCGGUAAUACAUAGGUUGCAAGCGUUAUCCGGAUUCAUUGGGCGUAAAACAAGCGCAGGCCGAUUAGAAAGUCUGGUGUUAAAAGCAAUUGCUUAACGAUUGUAUGCAUUGGAAACUUCUAGUCUAGAGUUUGGUAGAGAGUCCUGGAACUCCAUGUGGAGCGGUGAAAUGCGUAGAUAUAUGGAAGAACACCAGAGGCGAAGGCGAGGACUUGGGCCAAUACUGACGCUUAGGCUUGAAAGUGUGGGGAGCAAAUAGGAU